AUGAUCAAGCAAACACAGAAGCUAGUGAGUCAUCAAGCAAAAACCAAAAACCCUAGACAAAAAUCUCAUCAUCAUUUUCCCUAUACACUAAACCUUCAGAGAGUCAAAAGAGAAAGAAGUUUCCUAAUCGAAAAAGGUGAAAAACAGAACCAGAAAGAUCUCACCAGGAAGGUUGCGAUUGCAGAUCGCCUUCCACCGCUAUUUGAAGUUGACCGGUUUUUCCGAGAGGCACCCUCACUGCUUCCAAAAUCUUCAUAA